rnacentral:pre_miRNA from 1 species
UGUUAAAAUUUUCAUCCAUUUGUGUUGUUAAAAACUGAUGUGGUUGUGUAGCUAAUAGAAUAACCAAACAAUGACAUGUGCCUUGCCACAUGUACCUCGUGCUAACAUACAAGGACUGAUUUUUAACAGUAGAAAUAGAUAUAACUCCUAACU